rnacentral:rRNA from 1 species
CGUAGGGUGCGAGCGUUAAUCGGAAUUACUGGGCGUAAAGCGUGCGCGGGCGGUUUUGUAAGACAGAUGUGAAAUCCCCGGGCUCAACCUGGGACCUGCAUUUGUGACUGCAAGGCUAGAGUACGGUAGAGGGGGAUGGAAUUCCGCGUGUAGCAGUGAAAUGCGUAGAUAUGCGGAGGAACACCGAUGGCGAAGGCAAUCCCCCUGGACCUGUACUGACGCUCAUGCACGAAAGCGUGGGGAGCAAACAGGAUUAGAUACCCUGGUAGUCCACGCCCUAAACGAUGUCAACUGGUUGUUGGGUCUUUACUGACUCAGUAACGAAGCUAACGCGUGAAGUUGACCGCCUGGGGAGUACGGCCGCAAGGUUG